UGUCAGCAUUCGUCUUUUUAUCCUUGAACUUGUUGCGUCAUGACUGAGACAGCUCCUAACAGGUCAUCUUCACCCAACCACAUCAAAACAGACAAGAAAAGAGCUUGUCUGCCUUGCCUCUGCACCUUCAUCGAGGAGGAACUGUUUCUUCCCCAGAACACCCAAGAGACCAGCUCUCGCCUCAUUGGCCAGCACUGGAUAGAGCAUAACAGAAGCUGGGAAGUUAAUUCUAGACCAUAAAUUCCAAGUGACAGAGCCAUGGCAUAGAUAAUCUAAGUGAAUAUUUGAAGUGUCUCAGUUCUGGAUGGAGUUGAGUUUGAAGAGAUAUAGUUCAACCAGUUCUGGAUGAAGUGGGUUUGAAGAGGUAGAGUUCAACAGCCAAAGUUCACUUCAUGUGGUUACGGAUCUGGAGACACAGCUUCUGUCCAUACUCUGAACAUCUGGGAAAGGGACUAGCAAACCACUGUGCAGCCAGUUCCUUCAAGGGAUCCAUCACCAACAAGCUACCAUCAGAAGAAUUUCAAGAAUAGUCCCUGAAUGGUACUGACACCUCUGAGGCCAGUGUGUCAGUGAUGAGCUGAAGGCAGAAGAUAAAAGUUGAUCAUCAGCGCGAUGUGCCAGCCGCAGCGCACCGGCCGCAGCAGCCAUUGGAGGGUGAACCAACGGUCUGUGAAGUGGAAAUUCUGCAGGUACCAAAAGAAAAGGCACACUUUUGGACUUAAAAGUAUGUCCUGAUUAUCAAAUCCACUUCCCAUAUAAAUCCUCCAAAACCAGAUCAUAACAUAAAGCUAGUGGCUUGAACAGGCAUGGUGAGCCGUCCAAAAGCCUGAAUAAAAAUGCUUCAUACUUUUUGUAAUAAGAGCUUGUCAAGAAGUCCAAAAUUAGUACUUCAGAUCAGUUUAUUUGGAGAAGCACUAGCCAGUGAUCUUGGAACACGACUGGCCCUGUGAAGUAAUGAUCUGAUUCUUAAUAAAAAGCUUGAAAACCCCAUGUGUUCAAUUGAUAACAUACAGCAUCUUUCUAAAUCCAAACCUGAGAAUAAGAGAGGUGGAGCAAUAGCUUACAUCCACUGGCUUAUCUCUCUAUAUAUGCCCAGAAGGAGCAGGACCAGGCUGAAGCCUAAACCUGGGCGCUGUGAACACAAUCCAGGUCUCCAAAGUGGGUGGCAUGAACCUAAUCACUUGGGUCAUCACCGUUAAGUCCCGGAGCCCACCUUAGUAGGAAGCUAGAGUCAGGACAGGGAGACAGGUAUCAAAUCCAUACACUCCAGUAUAGGAUGCAGUUGUCCUAACCAGUAGGCCAAACACUCUACCAUAAACUUUUGGAAGUACCUUCAUACACCCAGGAGUGGAAGUGCUGAGAUACGGAGCAUGCAGAUGUGCAAUUACAGGAAAAAAUGUCAAGCUUUUCCAAAAGAGUUUAUCUGUAACGUAUGAAAAAACUUGUAAAUGUACACUUGUUAUUAUCAGAUUUUUAUACCUUUGGGCUCCAGUGGAGUUAAAAUGGUAUCAUAUUAUGAUAUUAAUAAACAUGUUAUUUAAAAGCAAAAGCUUUCCUCCAUUUCCAAUUUUUCAGCUAUGGUAUACAUUUCAAAGUAUGUUAGUGGUUAUAGAUCAACAUGGUGAUUAAUUAGAAAAUGAUACAUUUGUUACUUGGAACUAAUCUCUCACAUCAUUCCAGGCACAGCCAGGACUAUGAUAUAUGAUCAUUAUGGCCAGUAUAUGCUUUGCUAAUA